rfam:Termitomyces sp. J132 unplaced genomic scaffold scaffold154, whole genome shotgun sequence.
GGCGACAUGGCCGAGCGGUCUAAGGCGCUAGAAUCAGGUGUCCUGUAUCUAGUCUUUCGGGGCGUGAGUUCGAAUCUCACUGUCGUCA